rnacentral:rRNA from 1 species
UACGAAGGGGGGCUAGCGUUGUUCGGAUUUACUGGGCGUAAAGCGCACGUAGGCGGAUCUUUAAGUCAGAGGUGAAAUCCCAAGGCUCAACCUUGGAACUGCCUUUGAUACUGGGGAUCUUGAGUCCGGGGAGAGGUGAGUGGAACUGCGAGUGUAGAGGUGAAAUUCGUAGAUAUUCGCAAGAACACCAGUGGCGAAGGCGGCUCACUGGCCCGGUACUGACGCUGAGGUGCGAAGGCAUGGGGGAGCGGACGGG